AAUGAACGCUGGCGGCAUGCCUAACACAUGCAAGUCGAACGAAGGCUUCGGCCUUAGUGGCGCACGGGUGCGUAACGCGUGGGAAUCUGCCCUCAGGCUCGGAAUAACAGCGAGAAAUUGCUGCUAAUACCGGAUGAUAUCGCGAGAUCAAAGAUUUAUCGCCUGAGGAUGAGCCCGCGUAGGAUUAGCUAGUUGGUGUGGUAAAGGCGCACCAAGGCGACGAUCCUUAGCUGGUCUGAGAGGAUGAUCAGCCACACUGGGACUGAGACACGGCCCAGACUCCUACGGGAGGCAGCAGUGGGGAAUAUUGGACAAUGGGCGAAAGCCUGAUCCAGCAAUGCUGCGUGAGUGAUGAAGGCCUUAGGGUUGUAAAGCUCUUUUACCCGGGAUGAUAAUGACAGUACCGGGAGAAUAAGCUCCGGCUAACUCCGUGCCAGCAGCCGCCGUAA
rnacentral:rRNA from 1 species